AAUCAAGUGCCUUAAGGGUGUUCGGUGGAUGCCUUGGCGCUGAGAGGCGAUGAAGGACGUGCUACGCUGCGAUAAGCCG
rnacentral:rRNA from 1 species